ACGGGAGGCAGCAGUAAGGGAUGUUGGGCAAUGGGGGGAACCCUGACCCAGCCAUGCCGCGUGAGGGAAUGAGGCCCUACGGGUCGUGAACCUCUUUUGCCUGGGGAUAACCCCUCCCGCGUGACGGGGGGCUGCAGGUACCAGGCGAAUAAGCAUCGGCUAACUCCGUGCCAGCAGCCGCGGUAAUACGGAGGAUGCGAGCGUUAUCCGGAUUCAUUGGGUUUAAAGGGAGCGUAGGCGGGAAGUCAAGUCAGCUGUGAAAUGUAGGCGCUCAACGUCUGCACUGCAGUUGAAACUGGUUUUCUUGAGUGCGUAAGAAGCAGGCGGAAUUCGUCGUGUAGCGGUGAAAUGCUUAGAUAUGACGAAGAACUCCUAUUGCGAAGGCAGCUUGCUGGGCCGCAACUGACGCUGAAGCUCGAAGGUGCGGGUAUCGAACAGGAUUAGAUACCCUGGUA
rnacentral:rRNA from 1 species